UACGGAGUGUGCAAGCGUUACUCGGAAUCACUGGGCAUAAAGGGCGCGUAGGCGGGCUUUCAAGUCGGUUGUGAAAUCCCUCAGCUCAACUGAGGAACUGCAUCCGAUACUGUCUGUCUUGAGGACGAGAGGGGAGAGUGGAACUUCUGGUGGAGCGGUGAAAUGCGUAGAUAUCAGAAGGAACGCCGGUGGCGAAAGCGACUCUCUGGCUCGUAUCUGACGCUGAAGCGCGAAAGCUUGGGUAGCAAACGGG
rnacentral:rRNA from 1 species